rnacentral:rRNA from 1 species
UGGGGAAUAUUGGACAAUGGGCGGAAGCCUGAUCCAGCCAUGCCGCGUGUGUGAAGAAGGCCUUUUGGUUGUAAAGCACUUUAAGCGAGGAGGAGGCUACUUGGAUUAAUACUCUAGGAUAGUGGACGUUACUCGCAGAAUAAGCACCGGCUAACUCUGUGCCAGCAGCCGCGGUAAUACAGAGGGUGCGAGCGUUAAUCGGAUUUACUGGGCGUAAAGCGUGCGUAGGCGGCUUCUUAAGUCGGAUGUGAAAUCCCUGAGCUUAACUUAGGAAUUGCAUUCGAUACUGGGAAGCUAGAGUAUGGGAGAGGAUGGUAGAAUUCCAGGUGUAGCGGUGAAAUGCGUAGAGAUCUGGAGGAAUACCGAUGGCGAAGGCAGCCAUCUGGCCUAAUACUGACGCUGAGGUACGAAAGCAUGGGGAACAAACAGG